GAACUUAAGCAUAUCAGUAAGCGGAGGAAAAGAAACUAACAAGGAUUCCCCUAGUAACGGCGAGUGAAGCGGGAAAAGCUCAAAUUUGGAAUCUUUUACUAGAUGGUGAAAGAAUUGUAUUUGAGAGAGUGUGUGAGGGAGGAGCGAGAGCGUGAUCAAGAUCUUUGGAAAGAGACACCAUAGAGGGUGAUAGUCCCGUUGAUCACGAAUUCGCACCUAAUUCUUACGCAUUCUAAGAGUCGGAUUGUUUGGGAAUGCAGUCCUAAAUGGGUGGUACAAAUCAUCUAAAGCUAAAUAAGGGCAAGAGACCGAUAGCAAACAAGUACCGUGAGGGAAAGAUGAAAAGGACUUUUAACAGAGAGUCAAAAGUGCGUGAAAUUGUGGAGAGGGAAGCGACAAUGUGAGUGUAUGAAGCGGGGUGAAGUGUGCGGGGCGGCGGAAAAGGACAAUUGGAAGGUGAUACACGUAAGUGUGUUUUAUAGCCAAGUGUAGAAACUCUACCACGCACACUGUCACUCUAUAUUCGCAUUAUCGACCCGUCUUGAAACACGGACCAAGGAGUGUAACUAUGGUGCGAGUAGAAGAGUAAAGAAACUCUUGUGCGGAACGAAAGUGAAAGGGGUGUGAAGAACACGAUGGUGAUACUUUUAGUGAGUGUCACACACAGAGCACCAUGGCUACGACCCGAAA
rnacentral:rRNA from 1 species